GUAAGGCGUCAACUUGCCCUGCCGAUAUUAACAAAGUGUGCCCGGCUCCGUUACAAGUGAAGGGAUCUGAUGGAAGCGUAAUUGCGUGCAAGAGCGCUUGCUUAGCAUUCAACCAGCCAAAAUACUGUUGCACUCCACCUAACGACAAGCCGGAGACAUGCCCUCCCACUGAUUACUCUAAGCUCUUCAAGACCCAGUGCCCUCAAGCUUAUAGCUAUGCUUAUGAUGACAAGAGCAGCACCUUCACAUGCAGUGGUAGACCUGACUACCUCAUCACAUUCUGCCCAUAAGCAUAUAUAUAUAUAUAGAAUGGGAUCUUAUAUGAUAUGAUAUUAUACAUAUAGUUCCCAAUAAAUAAAUUUCCUGGAUCUUGACACAUUGUUGAUGUCAAGAAUUUGUAAUGCAGACGAUCAAAUAACGUAAAUGUUUGGAUUUUAUUUUCGUUCAUGGCUUUCAAAUUUUUGUUUCCUUCAUUUCUUUAUAUGAUGCAUUAUUUCCAGCAACAAAACAUGAGCAUAAUAUAAAGAGAGUUAGCUGCAAUUGAAAUGGUUAUCAAACGGGAGUUUAAAUACGGAUUGUAAUUUUCUGUCAUGCCUGGUGUUGAUGCGAAAAAGUGGUUUGAUACGUAAUUCGUCAACUUAGUCAAAAUGUCCCUUCGGUAGGUCCCCGUCCUUGGUAAGUGGUCCACUCCAGAGGGUCAAGUACCUGCAAAAGGACGCGUUCGGUAAAUCCUUGGGGUACCGGUGCGGUACCGGCCGAAGGCUCUCCGAUGCCUAAAUGAGUACGGAUUUAGUAAGGUUAACUGACAGAUCACACGAUAGCGUACCGUUAGUUCUUCUUCUUCCCUUUUGGGGAUAUGGGUCUCCUUAUAUAGACCUUGGGAGGUGUGCUUUGUGCUCAUUUUUCCGAUGUGGGACUCCAAGCAUGGAUUGUGAACAUGACACGUGUCUGUUGGUAAAAAGGGCCAAGAUAUAUAGCUUCGGUAGUGAGCAUGCCGUAGGGGCCCUGUGAUCAGAGUGGAUCCUGUCCACGUGUCCGGUGGAAAUAGGCCGUUUAAUUAGGUAUAAACAGUAGUCCCUCAAGUUCUCUUUCGAAGGUUCUUCGGAAGGGAAUUUGGUUUUCCUUGGUAGUUCGGAGGUUCUCCUGCCGUUCGGCAUGCUCAUUUGGGGGGAGGAAAGGCGCUUGAGUUGUUCCUUUCGGAAAGUAGUGUUCUGGGAAAAUCGGUCGGGGACUUGAAGGGUCGCCAAUGUUGAGAGGCGAGAGGGCAGAGAGACGCUUCGUCUUCCGUGCCUGGCGCGCAGAUAGAGGCGCCAUUUGCCGGGUGACGCGUGGCCAGCAAUAACACGCCUGUUGGUGCAUUAAUGAGCCGUUUCGUCUCCCGAGGCGUACCGUUACAGUUCUCCCUCUAUAAAUAGAGGUUGCUCUGUAUGAAAAAAUUCACUUUGCAAUUGUGAGUUUGCGCGAGAGCUCUUGAGUAGGCGAUUUUUGAAGUGUGCGAACGGCAAGCAAGGCGAUUUUCGAAGCGUGCGAACGGUAAGCUAGGCGAUUUUCGAAGCGUGCGAACGGCAAGCUAGGCGAUUUUCAUAGCACUCAAGGUAAGAUACCGUUCGGUACCCCUGAAUUUUGUUAUACUUCUGUAUAUGGCAUAGGCUCGCCGAUCGUUAAGUAGGAUCUUCCUUCGGUAGUCUAGUGGCCAUAGGUAGAGAAGUAGGUAUCUGUAGGAUAGCGCAGCACGCACCUUAGUUUUUCCCUUUUUCUUGUUUUGUAGAUGUCCGAUAGCGAGUCACCGUUCGGCGAUGAGCCCAACGCUUUCGACGGGGAGCUAUCUUCCGGCUGGGGUACGUCCAGCGAGGCCGUGAGCCUCGGCGCCGAGGGCGGGGAAGACUCCGAUGCCGAGCUAUUCGGUGAGGAGGCGGAUUCCAUUCCCACCCACGGCAUCGGUAAGGGGUUCAUGACGGGGCACCCGUUACCCCUGGUCGCGGUGUACAGGGACGGUACCCGUGUCGUGCCGUCUGAGCACCAGCCAGAGGCUUCCACCUCCGGCAAUGAUGAGUGUGUUGCCGGUCCCUCUCGGCCGAGAGUUACGAUCGUCCACCGAGAGCGGUAUAGGAUACCGGUGGGCAUACCGCAGAAGACCCUGUUCGGGGUUGAUUAUUUGGGGCCGAACAAACUUACCGAACGGGAGCUUCAAAAGAUUAGGGCCGAAUACCUCAUUCCUGACUCGGUGAAGAUGAGGGUCCCGAGCCCGGUCGAGUCCCUCAGCGACCCUGGGGAUGGUGAAGUCGUCUUCUUCACCGAUAUGCUGGUGCAGGGGGUCAGGUUGCCGUUGCAGCCUGCCGUUCAGAAGUUACUUGCCCAGAUUGGGUAUGCCCCGGGCCAAUAUAACCCCAACUUUUGGGUGGCCCUGAUGGGGGUGAUAACGGCCUUUGGGAUUGCCGGGGAGGGGGAGCCUUCCUACGAGCAAUUCUCCUACCUCUACAGCGUCACUAAGUCGAAGAGUGCCGACCAUGGUGGCUGGGUUCAGGCGAACUGCCUGAAGGCUUCCGAGCGAGGUCACUUCGUCAGCUCGGUGCCGACUUCCCAGAAGUCGUGGAGGAAUCGGCGGGUGCUACUCUCUGGCCAAUGGGAAUCGCCAUCAGGAGUACGCCCGCAGUCCCCAGUACCAACGACUUUCCAAACCGCCGGUAGGUCCCUAGUUACCGAUCGGCAGGUCCCUAGUUGCCUUUCUGUUUUCUUUUUAUAUUUGCUCACUCAUUCUUUAUUCGGACAGGCAAACUCAAGCAGCCGACUCCUACACAAGACGAGAUUCGGCAGAUCGACAGGGUGAGGCUGAAGGUCCCUGCCGCCGAGCGAGUGUACCCGCGCUUCCUUUUCACCAAUAAUCUCAUCAGAGCCGGGCUCGUCGACCCUGCCGAGAGUAAGUGUACUUGUUGCGCUUUUCUUCCUCUUCUCUUUUUUUGUGUGCUUGCCGACUGACUGAUUGUUUUUGGCCAGUGACGGACGCAAGGAGGGCUGCCGAGGCCAAGAAGAUGAACGAAUCUUCCAGGAGGCGCCUCAUGAUGGGCCUCGAGGGCAAGAAGAAAAAGAAGCAGCUCGAGGCCCCUGCCGUUCGGUCGUCGACGGACCCCGAGGAGGUGACCCUCGCUGAGCGUAUGCGGCAGUUGGGCGCUGAGCCUGUCGCAAGGCCGGCUGUCGAUCCCCAUGCGCCGAGGCAUGCCGUCGCCGAUGCCGUCGCCUCAAGGGCUGCCGGGAAGCGGCCGAUAACGGUGGAUUUGGAAACUUCUCCGGCGUCCAAGCGAAGCCGUCCGUCAGACGCUUCCAGGGCCGUCUUUGCGGCGGAGGACGAGGAUGGGCCUACCGAGGCCGUCACUCUCGCCUGCCCCUCGAAGACGGUGCAAUUCGUCAACCAUAUGAUCCUCGGUUCUCAGAUGGAGCUGCCGGAGGUUGACGAGUUGCCGAAGAAGGUUCUUCGGGAGCAGGCUGGACGCGCCUUCCGACUGCAAGCAGCAGUAAGAAUUUAUCUCCCGGUGUUGUCCUUUCAUUAUUUUUUUUUCGGUGCCAAGUGGGGCUUCAAACUAUCUUCCUCGUGUGCAGGCGUCCAUGGAGAUGUGGCUGUGUGUCAAGCGGGCCAUCUCCGCUGCCGAACGGGCAAAAAAGGACUAUGACGACGGCAGGGCUAAGGUUGCCGAGGCUGGAAAGGCUAUCCAGGACCACGCCCAGCUGCUAAAGGAGAAAGAGGCUGCCGAACGGCGGGCUCUCACUUCGGAGGCGACGGUGGGCGAGAUGCGGGCCGAUCUGGAGGCAGCGCGGGCGGCUCUGGAGGCAGCGCGGAUGGCAGCGCGUGAUGCCGAGGCCGUCUCGGAGGCGGUUCAGGACGCUCUGCAGGAGUCCGAGCGGACCAAGGCUGCGGAGGUUGAGGCUGCCAUUCAAACGGCAAUCCAGGGAUACCGUUCUUCCGAGGAGUUCACUGUCCUCCUGGACAGGGAAGUUGGCUCCGAGAUGGCGGGUAUGUUGUACCGAUUCAAGCGGUACAACCCUGGUCAGAAGCUGAACCUCAACUUCGCUGCCGAUCCCCCUCCCCUUCCCGAGGGAAUAACUGAGGAGAUGAUCGAAGACUACGAGGGGGAGGAUGCUGCUGCUGACGAAGCCUGAGGGCCUCUGUAAUAGUUUUAGCCUGUCUUAUUUUUAUUGUUAUUUUGUAUCUGUACCGAACGCCUUGAUGCCGAGGGCAUCUUUAAAUUAGAUGUGCAUAUUUUGUCUAUUUUUGUCUUUUCGAUUUGAUUUUGUUUUAUCGCCGAUAGGAUUUAUAACGUUAUAGAAGUAGCUUUCGAAAUUGUCAAGUUUCGAUGGAAUCUGUAGGGUGACAAUUUCGAAAAUACCUCCUGCCGUAGGUUAGUAAAGAUGCCCCAGAACGUUAUCUUGCUUAUAUUGGCAGCCGUAGGCUAGUAGAGACUGUAACAAGAGUUUCUGAAGCAAUAGUGCCGAAGGCUUUCUAUUUAUCUUUGCCGAAAGGCAUUUACAAUUUUGUCCUACCGUAGGCUAGGUUGCAACUCUGUCCUGCCGUAGGCUAGGUUACUUGAAAUAGUACUUGAGAUGUUCCACGUUCCAAGGAUGACCGAGGGUCUUGCCGUUGGAGUCUCUUAGGCGGUAGGUUCCCGAUCGAAGGAUACCGAUGAUCUCGUAAGGUCCUUCCCAGGAAGGUCCGAGGGUUCCUUCCGUGGCAUCCUUAGUUGCUAGGGACACCUUCCUCAUGACCUAAUCACCGGCUCGGAAUGAACGGUGUCUGAUUCUGGAGUCGUAAUACCGAGAGACGCGUUGCUUGUAGGCUUCGUUUCGAAGGUUGGCAUGUGCUCGGUGCUCUUCCAGGAGGUCGAGGCUUAGAGAAAGUGCUGCUUCAUUUGGCUCUGGUGCGAAGGUUUCCGUUCGGUAGGAAGGUUCGCCAAUUUCUACCGGCACAACGGCUUCCGAACCGAAAGCCAAAGAGAAAGGGGUUUCUCCUGUGGACGUUCGGUAAGAGGUCCGAAUGGCCCAGAGCGCUUCGGGAAGCUUUUCUGGCCAGGCUCCUUUGGCUUUGUCCAGCUGCCGUUUUAGCAGUUUCUUGAUGAUUUUGUUUAUCGCUUCUACCUGACCGUUCGACUGGGGAUGGGCCGGUGAUGCGAAAAACAAGUUGAUCUUCAGGCGGGUGCAAAAGUGCCUGAAGAGUUCCGAAUCGAACUGCCUGCCGUUGUCGGUGAUGAUUGCGUACGGGAUACCGAAACGGCAACAAAUGUGAGUCCAGACGAAGUCCUCUACUCUUGCUGCCGUUAUGGUUGCAAGAGGUUCGGCCUCCACCCAUUUGGUGAAGUAGUCGACGGCAACCACAGCGUAUUUCACCUGGCCUUUACCUUGUGGCAUCGGACCGAUCAGGUCUAGCCCCCACUGUGCGAAAGGCCAAGGACUCACGAUCGGUGUCAAGGGUUCGGCGGGGAUAUGCUGUAUGUUGCCGAAACGCUGACAUUUAUCGCAUUUCUUCACAAGUGAAUUGGCGUCCUGGUGCAUGGUCGGCCAGAAGUAUCCCUGCCGAAAGGCUUUGUGUGCGAGUGACCGGGACCCAGAGUGAUCGCCGCAAACACCAUUGUGGAUUUCCCGGAGAACGUAGCUCCCCUGCUCUGCCGUAAGGCACUUGAGAUACGGAGUCGUGUAGCCACGUUUGUAAAGGACGUCGUUGAUGACGGUGUACCUUGCCGAUCGGUAUCUAAGCUUUCGGGCCUGGGCCUUGUCCUCUGGAAGGGUGCCGUUGGUUAGGUAUGAGUAGAUAGGGGACAUCCACGUAUCCUCGUACCGUACGGUACAUAUUUCGGAGGUUGCCGUGCUUGGUUGGGCAAGAAUUUCCACCGGCACCUUUCUUCCGAUUUUGUCAUUGAUUGCCGAGGCUAGUCGCGCUAAAGCAUCGGCAUGACUGUUUUCGCUCCUGGGGAUCUGUUUGAUCUCAUAGGCUCGGAAGCUCUGGAGCAGCUGGUGGGUGGACGAAAGGUAGGCGUUCAUGGAGGCGUCUCUGGCGGCGAAGUCCGCCGUUACCUGGUUCACAAUGAGUUGGGAGUCACUGUGUAUCUUGAUCUGUUUUGCGUUCAUGCUCUUGGCUAAACGAAGGCCGGCCAAGAGAGCCUCAUAUUCUGCUUCAUUGUUGGAGGUUCGGAAGUUGAAUCGGAGGGCGUACUCGAUCUUGAGUCCCUCCGGUGUUGUCAGAACCAACCCUGCUCCACACCCCUGUUGGUUUGCCGAGCCGUCGACAUGCAGAGUCCAUACAGGAUUUGAGGCGUCGAGCCGUUCGGCGUCUACCUCCAUCGGUGCCGCGGUUUCGGUAACUGGCUCGGGUAUUUCCUGUGUCGUUGGUGGGGUGAGCUCGGAGAUGAAAUCGGCAAUGGCCUGACCUUUUCGGCUGGCCUUGGCACGAAUUGUAUAUCGAAUUCUCCGAGUUCAAUCGCCCACUUGAUCAAUCGGCCGGAAGUCUCUGGUUUUUGGAGUACUUGCCGAAGCGGUUGGUUUGUCAGGACAUUGAUCCCGUGUGCUUGGAAGUAUGGCCGAAGUUUUCGUGCCGAGAUCACCAGGGCUAGUGCAAGCUGCUCUAAUGGGGGAUAUCGAAGUUCAGCGCUCUGGAGUGCCUUACUGACAUAGAAGAUCGGUAGCUCUGCCCUCUCCGGUUUUCGGAUUAACACCGAACUGACGGCAGUGUUAGAUACCGAGAGGUAUAGGUAAAGAAUCUCCCCAGGCAGUGGUUUUGACAGGAGAGGUGCUCUGCCCAUAUAGUCUUUUAAGUCUUGAAAUGCUUUAUCACAUUCGGCAGUCCAUAAGAUAUUCUGUUUGCCCCCUUUCAAGGCUUUAAAGAACGGUACACAUUUGUCGGUAGCCUUGGAUAUAAAGCGAGUCAGGGCAGCCACUCGUCCGGUAAGGCUUUGGAUGUCCUUUGUUGUUUUUGGCCUCUCCAUGUCGAUGAUGGCCUUUAUUUUUUCGGGGUUCGCUUCGAUACCCCUGUGACUAAUCAUGAAUCUGAGGAAUUUCCCGGAAGACACACCGAAGGCGCAUUUCAUCGGGUUUAACCUCAUUCGGUAGCCCUUCAGGAUACCGAACAUGAUAGACAGAUUGUGCAGGUGUUCUUCGGCUGUUCUGCUUUUCACCAACAUGUCGUCAACGUAAACCUCCAUGAUGCUGCCGAUGUGUUCGGCGAAGAUUCUGUUGACAAGCCUCUGAUAUGUUGCCCCCGCGUUCUUCAAGCCGAACGGCAUGACGUUGUAGCAGUACAACCCUCUGUCAGUGAUGAAGGCGGUGUGCUCGCUGUCGGGGGGGUGCAUAAAAAUCUGGUUGUACCCUGAAUAGGCGUCCAUGAAGCUGAGCAGCUCGUGUCCUGCCGUGGCGUCCACGAGCUGGUCUAUUCGGGGUAACAGAAAGCUGUCCUUCGGGCAGGCCUUGUUCAGAUCGGUGUAGUCUUGGCACAUUCUCCAGCCGCCUGUACCCUUUCGAACCAUGACUGAGUUCGCCAGCCAUACCGGGUACGUAACUUCCCUGAUGAAGCCGAUGGUUUGAAGUUUGUCAACUUCCGUCCGCAUGGCUUCGUACCGUUCGGCAUCAUACAAACGGCGCUUCUGCCUUACAGGUUUGUAGGUUGGGGAAAUGCUGAGUUUAUGGCUGAUGAUUUCAGGGUCUAUGCCGGGCAUGUCUUCGUAGGACCAUGCGAACACUUCCGAAUGGUGCCGUAAGAAGUCUAUAAACUGCGCUCGGAGGGCGGGGGUCAGUCUGGUACCGAUUUUAACCCGACGAUCGGGCUGUUCAUCGCUCAGGGUUAUCGUCUCCAGUUCUUCGACGGGUUGCGUAUAAGGAGUUGGUGACUCAUCUCUUGGGUCGUCAACUGGUCCGUUGCCGUUCGGCAUCCCCUGCACAGACAUGGUCUUGUCUGGGAUUUUGAGAGAGGUUGAUUUGAUCGCCGUGGCGUAGCAAGUCCGUGCGCUCAGCUAAUUUCCCCUGACAGAUCCUACGCCAUUUGGGGUCGGGAAUUUCAUCAACAGCAUGUGUGGGGAAAGAUGCGCCUUUACCCUGGUCAGUGCCGUUCGCCCAACAAUGACGUUGUACGCCGUCGGGCAGUCAACGAUGAGGAACUUGUCAUAUACCGUCGUUCUCUUUGGCGCGGUGCCGAAGGUAAUUGGGAGCGUUACGCUACCGACCGGUUGGACCAUGUCCCCGGAGAAACUUAGCAAAGGCGUCAACUGCCGGUUGACCUGGCUGUCCUGUAUUCCCAUUUCUCGGAAAGCUUCGGCGAAGAUUACGUUUACCGAGCUCCCUGUAUCAAUCAGUACUCUCCCUACAUCGUAAUCGGCAAUUUCUGCUCGGACGAUCAUUGGGUCGUCGUGGGGACAGAGAAUGCCCUGUUCCUCUUCUUUGCAAAACGUGAUCGGCUCCCAAUGAUCCUUCGGUGUUUCAUGGUGGCGAUUCACCUCUAUGCCGAACACCUGGGGAAACUGUGCGGCACGCACGUACUGCUUCAUCGAGCGAUUGCUCAGUCCUGCGAUGGUUGGGCCGCCGCUGAUAGUGCUUAUCAUGUUUAUCUGCCGAUUUGCGUUCGGCUCCGGCGCCGUUGGCUGCCGGGCGAUAUACUGGUCUAGCUUCCCCUCUCGGAUCAAGCGUUCGACGAUCUUCCUCAGGCUUAUGCAGUCUUCUGUAUUAUGGCUGUUGUGCUGAUGGUAUCGGCAGAAUUUACCGGUAUCCCGGUUGUCUUGCCGAUUGGGCCUUCGUUGAUUCGGCUUGGGUAUUUUUUCCUGUUCGUUCAUCAGGACGGCCUCGUAGGUAGUAUUCAACAGGGUGAAGACCUCAUUGCCAUGAUCCCGAUUCGGCAGGGGGGCUCGGUUGUCGUUGCGACUGUACCUCCCUUUUUCUUUCUUUGGGUGCUCCCUUCGAUCUGCACGAUCAUCCUUCCUCUUAUGACCUGCCGAGUAGGUGUCGACUCGCUCAUAAGGCGUUGCCCUUGCCGGAUAGGCACUUGGUUCCGCAUUUCCUUGCGGUGCCGAAACCGUGGGUUUCGAGUUGAAGUAUUCGGCCUUGGCGUGGAUUGCUGCCUGCUUCAUCAGUUCAUCGUACGUGCGCCAGUUGCUACUGUGCACCAGGUAUCGAAAAUGAGAGGACCGAAGGCCACUCUUGAAGGCGCCGUAGGCUGCCCUAUCAUCCGUUUCCGGACACCUUGAGUACUCGUGACUGAAACGCGCCGCGUAUUCUCUCAACGGUUCGUCCUCCCUUUGCCGAAUCGUGUACAGAUCAUCGGCGGAGUAGAGACGGUCCGUUUGGAUUAUGAAGUGAUUGAGGAAGAUCUGCUUCAGCUCAUCAAAGGAUGCUACCGUUUCCGGCUCUAAACGGUAGAACCAGUUCAAGGCUGCCCCGGUAAGGGAAGACGGGAAUAGCAGGCACUGCCCCUCAUCGCUCAAGCCCUUGCAUCCAAUAGCGGACUGGAAUGAAUGGAGGUGUGUCAAAGGGUCCUCCGUUCCUGUGUAGAACGUUAUACGCAGUUGCUGCACUUCCCUGUCUUGCCGAGAAUCCCGGAUGCGCCUUGUGAACGGUCCGGGCCGAAGCUUUCCCCAUUCCGGUUCUUGGGAGCGCGCAUUGUCGUUUUCCAUUUUCUGGACCUUCUGAAAAAGGAGUCGGAUCAUGGGGUCUCGGCUAGGGACUUCUUCGGAACCGUAAUCUUCCGAUUGUCUUUGUAGGUUUAGUGAAUUAUCCCCCGCAUACCGCGAUGGUGUUUCCGAACGGUAGUCGGGGGGAAGUGUCUUGGAAGGGAUGUACUCGGACUCCGAAGACUCGGCGGGGCCCAAUCCCCUGACCUUCCGAAUAGGCGACUUAUCCCCUAGGUUAUUCAUCCGUGAUUCCCUUAUUCGAGCGCCAAUCCUGAUCGGUGACCCCUCUCUCUCUGGCUCCCGAUCGUUAGUGCGAUGCUCCCGGUCGUUAAUCCGAUGUCGGCAAUCGGUGUAGACCUUCCUUGGGAUGUGCGGCUGAUCCCGGGGUGCCGGAACCACUAACUCUCUGGAAGGUGCGGGCGUUGCCUUCGCUACCUUCGCGCGUUUGUUCUUCCCGCGGGGGUUCUGCAAGCUCUCGGAAGAGCGAGUUGUCUGUAUGUUCUGCGGUUGCUGCUGGUGAAGCAACUGCUGGGUUUCGUCCACUUUGGACGAAAGGAAGUUGUUGUGUUCCUGAAGCCUCGCCAUGUCCUUCCGUAAGGAUGCGAUUUGGGCUGCCAUCUCGACUUCGGCAGCCGUUUGGGUAGCGGGGGCAUUUCCGAAGGGAGUGUUGGAGGUAGCGCUGGGCUAGCUCCGCUCUGCCUUCCGAACGGUACCCCCUCUUCCGCUAGGAACGUUUGUUUUGAAGUGGUCCCCAUGUGCUUAGGGGAUUGUGGGUUGAUGAUUUUUUGGUUUCCCACAGACGGCGCCAAACUGUUGAUGCGAAAAAGUGGUUUGAUACGUAAUUCGUCAACUUAGUCAAAAUGUCCCUUCGGUAGGUCCCCGUCCUUGGUAAGUGGUCCACUCCAGAGGGUCAAGUACCUGCAAAAGGACGCGUUCGGUAAAUCCUUGGGGUACCGGUGCGGUAUCGGCCGAAGGCUCUCCGAUGCCUAAAUGAGUACGGAUUUAGUAAGGUUAACUGACAGAUCACACGAUAGCGUACCGUUAGUUCUUCUUCUUCCCUUUUGGGGAUAUGGGUCUCCUUAUAUAGACCUUGGGAGGUGUGCUUUGUGCUCAUUUUUCCGAUGUGGGACUCCAGGCAUGGAUUGUGAACAUGACACGUGUCUGUUGGUAAAAAGGGCCAAGAUAUAUAGCUUCGGUAGUGAGCAUGCCGUAGGGGCCCUGUGAUCAGAGUGGAUCCUGUCCACGUGUCCGGUGGAAAUAGGCCGUUUAAUUAGGUAUAAACACCUGGUAAGGAAUAAGCAUGGCUAUUUACGAAACUAUAAUAUGAACAACACUGAGAAACACAAGUAUGGCCAUUUCAAACAGACUACAAAUAACUUCGUAUUCCAACAAUGAAUCAACAGCACCCAUGGCCAUAUACGUUUGCAGCAUCUGAAGGUAGAUCAUCUAAUUAAUGUUAGAAGGAUAAUAGUUUCUAAAGUUCUUUAUUAAAAAAAUCAAUAGACAACCACCAGAGACAAAUUUUGUUUUGGAGAAGAUGAUUAUUCUCAAUUCUUGACAGCUGCAUAAUGCUAAAAUAUGAAUAUGGUUUGAAUACUUUACUUUAGGUUAGUUGUAUUCUUCUUCAUAAAGAGGUAUAUAUGAGUUUACAAGGUGCUUUAUAAGGAAAUAGAUACAGUUAAUUACCAUGGUAUACAAAGUGACUUAGAGACAAAAACUCAGAGACCGACUUGACUUUCACCAUGCGGCUUCUGGAAGUGCAAAUGAACCAUGCACAAGACUUUUAGAGUGAGCUCUUUGGACGUGGACUUGUUAAAACAUGAAAGGUUUUGUGUUGAUUUUUCUCAAUCAUACAAUCCGUUAAUAUACAAAUUUAUGUACACGAACACUACUAAGGAAUGCAAAGACUUUAAGAUCAUACAAACUACAAGUACUUGUUGAGAGUAUUUAGUCCAUGUUUUUUUUUUAAAAAAAUGCAGACAUUCAUUUUGUAUUUUAUUUUCCGUUCAUGUUUUUUUAUGGUUUAUCAAACUCAUAUAAAUAUGAUACAUAAAGCAAAAAAUAGAGAGAGAAUAGUAAAACAUUCAAAAAAUUAAAAAUUGUUCUUACUUCAUUUUUUUUUGUUGGAAUGCAUUUAUUACACAUUGAAACUUUUCAUUAAAUAAGCAUAAUAUAGUAAAUAUAUAUAUAUAUAUAUAUAUUAGAUGGGGACCUAUUUUCUUGGGACACAACUUGACAGGACCCGAUCCAAAUUCCACUUUGGAAUCCGAGCCAUACCCUGUGUGUGUCCGACACUUGGCGAAUGUCGUUUUCCGGCGAGCUCCGGCCACGGAAACUCCGACGAAGGGUCAGAAAAUGACGGCGGUCGAGUGGUGGUUCGUUUGGUACCAACGGCGGAGAUCGGCUCCAAGCGUGGUGGCCGUGGCGACGAUGAGAAGGGAGGAAGGUCGGCUGGCGCGGGCUGAUCGGGAGGAGAGAGAGAAAAGAGAGAAAUUGAUGGGGGAAGAAAGAGAGAGAGAGAGAAACAGGUUUUAUAAAUCUAAUUUUCCAAUUUACCAUUUUCCCCCUCAUGAUAUUUUAAUCGUAUUGUCUUCAUGAAAAUUCCGAUUUGAGCUUACUUCGUGUCUAUGAACUCGUGUCGUCGUGCUCUACGGAACGGUGUAUGGGGAAUUGUCAAAUUCCUUUUCGGUCAAAAAGUCAACUUUGAGUUCAUAAGGUAGUCAAAGGGCAAAAUUGUCUUUCCGUAUAAUAAAUUACUCAUUAAAUAUGAAUUUUAGGUUUGGGUCAUUACACAACUUCUUUAUCUUUUUUUUUAGUUGGAUUCUUAAUUCUUAAAUUAAAAAAACGAAAAUAAAAAACCAAUUGGCACCAAGGUAGUAUAUAUGAAACAUCGUCAGAAAUUAAAUUUUUUUUUUUUUGAAAUGUUCAUAAAAACAAACAAACAAAAAUAUAUACAUACAUUAACAAAAAAAAUAAUUUUCAAAAUAAAUGCACAGUGCCCAAGGAAACUCCUUAUAUAAUGUAUGUCUCUUGAAAAUUGUCAACAAAUCCGCUGUAGCAAUACUUACAAAUGGAUAAUUGUAAUCCGGGUUCGAAUCCCGACAGUGGAAUUCUUUUUAAGUUAGAUGUAUGACAGGAUUCGCCCCAAAUUCCUCGGAACCCGAAAUGAAUCCUGUGAAAUUCCGACAUCACCCCGAUGCCGGGCCCACUUAUUAAAGACCAAGACUUUCUACCAAAAUUUUGGCAGAGUCUCCCCUGUAAUUUGAACAAUCCCAAAAAUUUCAACAUGCAUAAAAUACAUGUCAUAUCCCAACAAGCAGCACGCACAAUAUAAUUUCAUGCAAUUCACAAACUCGACCUUAGGCCCUCACAUGAACCGAAGCGAAACCAAACUACCAACAAAGCCCUUACGCCAAAAAUAUUGCCUUAAUAUGGUAUAACAACACCCUUAAUUCAUCUCUCUAUACGCCUGAAAUUCCAACGCUACGUAUGAGGUCUGUCUCAACGCCGAAAAAUCCUACGCCACGCGAGACCUAACAAAUCACAUAAUCUCCUCAUACGCCGAAAAUUCUAACGCCACAUAUGGGGUCUGUCAUCAUUGAUUUAGGAUAUUAUCUUGAGAGAUAUUAUCAUCAAUUAGUGAUUUAAUCCCAAUCAAAUUGUUAAUUGACUUAAUCUCUCCAUUUAAGGGAAAAAAUAUCUUCCUUCAAAAUAAGAAGAUAUUCGUUGAAAAUCUCUUCAUUUAGGUAAUUCUGAAACGUAGCAAGAAUUCCCCAAAACCUCUCUCUCUCUCUCUCUCUCUCUCUCUCUCUCUCUCUCUCUCUCUCUCUCUCUCUCUCUCUCUCUCUCUCCGCCCUAGCCGACGGCCUCUCUCACUCUUAUCUCUCACACACGGCCAAGUGCCACCACACACGGCUUUGGCCACUCGACUCUCCCCGUGAGAAAAAGCUCCGUACCAUUUUUAGCUAUUGCAACAUAUUUUCUCCUAUUGCCACAUAUUUUCUCAAAGAUCCAAUCGAACUAACUUAGGCAUCGGAGAGAUUUUGACGAACACCUACCAGGUGUGGUUUUUUACUCUUGUUUGUUUCGCAGUAACCGAGCAAGAGAGAGAAGGAAGCUCAAAAAGUGAAAGAUCCACAUGCGAAUAUUCUUCCUUGAGAAAUUUGCAUAAACAGAAGACGUGUGACAUAUUCUUGGUUCAAAAAUAUCCAUCCGAAACAAGGAAAAAAUUGUAAAACCAAACUUAAGAAAUUAUACCUCUAUUCUGGUCAGCAUGAAUGGAUAUGUCCAAACAAAUUUUAAUCCAACAAGAAAAAUCAGAGGAGAAGGUUUAGGGUUUCACAAACAGAUCUACCAAGUAAAACGAAUUAACAUAUGAUAUGGGCAAAAUAAAGAAAUGAGACCAAGAUAAAACUUCUAGAAAGGUGACAAAUUGUCCUUUGAAGUAAUUUUACGUAAGCAUAACAAUUCGAAAUAAAAGAUAAACAAACAAAAAUCCUAUGAAUGGAUGGGACGAGGAAAAUUGAAGCUGACAAUAAAGGUUACUAACUUACUUGGGAUGUAUCCAAAGAAAAAAAAAAACAUGAAGGGAAAUACUAGUUUUCCUUCCUUGUUUUACUUUUCUCCCUCAUUAAUUGUACUUGGCUUUAGCUCCAUGCAUCUUCUCCUCCUUCACGGCAGCUUGGCCCAUCAAUCACGCUAUGAAAACGGCAUUUUUCCAUUUCUUCCAGUCUGGCUACUUUGACAUUUCUUGGGUUUCAUUAUCUAAAUUAAUAUCUAGUACUUGUUUUUUUAUGUACUCGUGCCAAUAUUCAAAGUACCUGCUAUCAUAAAUAAACCUAUGUAAACAGGGACUAAACGUUUAUGGCCCGUUUCCUAGUGUUGAUGACCUAUCAUCUAAUGUUUGAGUUUAAUCCAAAUCUCUCUAGAAGUUUUUUUUUUUUCCUUUCUCUAUGAGGGUUCAAACGUGACACAUCUCGUAACUCGUCUAUAAGUUAAAGUCAAUUUCUAUUGCGCUAGAGACCCUAUUGGCCUCUAAAAGAUCUUUUAGUUACUUCUUUAUCCAAUUGAUCACUUUUUCUACUUUAAUUUUUCUGGAUUGAAUUUGAAUUUUCUGUAAUAUAUAUUUUUUUGGGAUAAUGUAAACAGGGGACUUCACUUCAUUGCAGGUCAAUGACGAUAUCUAGGAACAAUCCAUCAGUCUAGGACCAAACAUUAUGAGUCAUUUGUUAGUUUCCUCAGGGUCCUGUUUACGUGUUGCCAUGGCAGCUUAGACCCGUAAUCAAAAUCGCAAGAAAAGAUCAAAAGUUAGGCACGCUACAAGCCCUAUAUAAAGCACCCCCUGGCACCCAAGUUUAUCAUCAUCCUCCUCACCAAAUUACAAAUUAAUUAAGUUUAUCAGCAACAGCAAGCCAAUUAAGACAUUUCCAAGACGAUGAUGAAGAGCCAAGCAGCUCUCCUCGGCCUCACCACCUUGGCCAUCCUCUUCUUCUCAGGUAUAAUAUUAUACAAACUUUGUUAGUCGAUCAGAUAUCGAUCAAAAGUUUAUUUUUACAAUUGUCUCUGUAAUCUGUUUUCUUAUGAUCACGUUGAAUAUGCAGGUGCACAUGCAGCUAAAAUCACUUUCACAAACAAAUGUUCCUACACUGUCUGGCCAGGAACCCUAACCGGUGACCAAAAACCUCAAUUAUCACUCACCGGGUUCGAGUUAGCAACCGGAAUUAGCAACUCUGUGGACGCUCCGUCCCCGUGGUCCGGUCGCUUCUUUGGCCGAACCAGGUGCUCCACGGACGCGUCAGGAAAGUUCACUUGUGCCACAGCAGAUUGUGGCUCUGGCCAAGUCUCAUGCAACGGUAACGGCGCAGUUCCGCCAGCUACAUUAGUAGAAAUCACUAUUGCUGAGAACGGGGGUCAAGAUUUCUACGAUGUUAGUCUUGUUGACGGCUUCAACUUGCCCAUGUCCGUGGCUCCACAAGGCGGCACCGGAGAGUGUAAGGCCUCAACUUGCCCUGCCGAUAUUAACAAAGUGUGCCCGGCUGAGUUACAAGUGAAGGGAUCUGAUGGAAGCGUAAUUGCGUGCAAGAGCGCUUGCUUAGCAUUAAACCAGCCACAAUACUGUUGCACUCCCCCUAACGACAAGCCGGAGACAUGCCCUCCCACUGACUACUCUAAGCUCUUCAAGACCCAGUGCCCUCAAGCUUAUAGCUAUGCUUAUGAUGACAAGAGCAGCACCUUCACAUGCAGUGGUAGACCUGACUACCUCAUCACAUUCUGCCCAUAAGCAUACAUAUAUAUAUAAUGGGAUCUUAUAUGUUAUGACAUUAUACAUAUAGUUCCCAAUAACAGAGAAGAAUAAAUAAAUUUCCUGGAUCUUGACACAUUGUUGAUGUCAAGAAUUUGUAAUGCAGACGAUCAAAUAAAGGUAUAAAUGUUUGGAUUUUAUUUUCAUUCAUUUCCUUAUACGUGCAUUAUUUCCAGCAACAAAGCAUGAGAAUAAUAUAAAGAGAGUUAGCUGCAAACUGAAAUGGUUAUCAAACGGGAGUUUAAAUACGGAUUGUAAUUUUCUGUCAUGGCUGGUAAGGAAUAAGCAUGGCCAUUUACGAAACUAUAAUAUGAACAACACUGAGAAACACAAGUAUGGCCAUUUCAAACAGACUACAAAUGACUUCGUAUUCCAACAAUGAAUCAACAGCACCCAUGGCCAUAUGCGUUUGCAGCAUCUGAAGGUAGAUCAUCUAAUUAAUGUUAGAAGGAUAAUAGUUUCUAAAGUUCUUUAUUAAAAAAUCAAUAGACAACCACCAUGACUGUUUUGGGAAAUUAGAGACAAAUUUUGUCUUGGAGAAGAUGAUCACUUCUCAAUGCUUGACGGCUACAUAAUGCUAAAAUAUGAAUAUGGUUUGAAUACUUUAUUUUAGGUUAGUUGUAUUCUUCUUCAUAAAGAAGUAUAUAUAGGAGUUUGUUUUACAAGGAAAUAGAUACAGUAAAUCACCAUGGUAUACAAGGUGAUCACUUAGAGACAAAAAUUGAAAUGGUUCCCAAAGCCUUCCCUUAGCAAGCAGGUACCAUUGCAAGAAUGGUUCCAUAGUCAAUAAUGACAAGACCCGCAAGGAUGAUCUCGAAUUUAUAUGCAUGUUUUAAUUUCAUGGGCCUGUUGUUCUUCUACUACAGUAAUUAGAAUUUGUUUACAAGUGUGAAUUUUCCCAGAGCAAUUUCAGGGACCGACUUGACUUUCACCAUGCGGCCUCAGGAAGUGCAAAUGAACCCCGCACAAGACUUUUAGAGGGAGCUCUUUGGACGUGGACUUGUUAAAACAUGAAAGGUUUUUGUGUUGAUUUUUCUGAAUCAUACAAUCCGUUAAUAUACAAAUUUAUAUACACGGAGACUACUAAAGAAUGUAAAACUUUAAGAUCAUACAAACUACAAGUACUUGUUGAGAGUAUUUAGUCCAUGUUUUUUUUUUUUUAAUCCAGACAUUCAUUUUGUAUUUUAUUUUUUUUAUCGUUUAUCGAACUCAUAUAAACAUGAUAUAUAAAGCAAAAAGUAGAGAGAGAAUAGUAAAACAUUCAAAAAAGCAAAAAUUGUCCUUGCUUCAUAAUUUUAUUUCUUUGUUGGAAUGAAUUUAUUACGCAUUAAUUAAACUUUUCAUUAAAUAAGCAUAAUAUAGUAAAUUAAUAUAUAUAUAUUUUUUAAAAUGGGGACCUAUUUUCAUGAGAUACUUCUUCUUCUUCUUUUUUUUUUUUUUUGUUAGAUUCUCUUUCUUAAUUCUUAAAUUCAAAAAAUGAAAAUAAAAAACCAAUUGGCACCAAGGUAGUAUAUGUGAAACAUCGUCGGAAAUUUAAUUGUUUUUUAUUGAAAUGUUCAUAAAAACAAACUAACAAAAUAUAUACAUACAUUAGAAAAAAAAAAAUUUGUUUCAAAAUAAAUGCACAGUGCCCAAGGAAUCUCCUUAUGUAACUUAUGUCUCUUCAAAACUGUAAAAAAAAAAAUCCGCUAUAGCAAUACUCACAAGUGGAUAAUUGUAAUCCGGGUUCGAAUUCCGGCAGUAGAAUUCUUUUUAAGUUAGAUGUAAAUGUGAUCCAUUUUAUAUCAGUUAUAAUAGUUGUCGUAAUGAGCUUCUUUUUAAGUCUCUGUUUAUAUAGCAGCUUCUUCCCUAACUUGAGUAGAAUCCAAUUUGCGGCUAAGAUCACUUAAGAUGCAAGACUUUUAGUCACAAAGUAAAUAUUCCUAUUUCAGUCCUUGUCAAAACUUUGGCAAAAAAAAAAAGAAAAAUGAUUCCUAUCAAAACAUAGAGCAUCCACAAUGGGAGGGUGUAUAUGAGGGUGUAUGUUAAAUAUACAUCCCUUGUCACCGGAAUCAUCUGCAAUGGGGAGAUGAAAAGGGUUGUAAAUAUACAUCACCACCAUGGAGAUGUAAAAAAAUGUACAUUUACAUCUAUUUUUACAUCUUUUGCAAGUGGGACCCACCCGAAAAAAGAGAAGAAAAAUGAAGAAAAGUCAGCAUAAAAGGCUGGGACCCGCGGCUACAGUAAUUGCUAGAAAAAAAAAAUCACAUGUUGUUUGCUUAUUUGUGGUUUUCAUGCUCCCCCAAUGUUUUUGGAUGAUCAUAUCUUCUCCGAAUUUCAAUAUUUUUAGGGCUAUUUGUUUGAAAAAUUAAAAUUAACCUCAUACAAAAAAAAAUUAAUUUUAUAAAGUAAACACAAAAUACAAAUUUAACACAAAAACGAAUUAAGAAAAAUAAAACAAUUACACAUCUUAGAUUUACAUCUUCUCCUAUUGGAGCCAAAAACGUAUUUACAUCCCCUGGAGGUGUAAAGGGGAUGUAAAAGUGGCUUUACACCCCCGAAUUUACGCCCCUUACUGUGGAUGCUCUCAGUGCAUAUGAUGUACAGAUAAUUCACCAAAAAAAAAAAAAAAGGAAAUUAGUAUUGACAGUAUUCCACAUGGGAAGAUGGAAACGUUGUAAUAUAGUGCUUAAACUUCUCCACCUAUUGUCAAUUAUUUUUACGUUGAAUGCUGAUAUCUUAAAGAUAACGCUACUCAAUCAGGUUCUUAUUUGACUCUCAACAUUGAAAAAUGCAUUACAAACUAAAGUUCAUUUUAUCGUGGAAUAUAUAUAUUUUUUCAUGGACCCUGAAAUUUAGAAAACAAUUAAAAAGGCAAAAAAGAAAAAGAAAAAUAGGCAAUUUAGGGUCCUUUCAGUAAUGUUUUCGGAGAAUAUAUUCAGAAAAUGAAAAUGAGAAAACGAAUAUACAUUUUCAAGAUUCGAGAAUGCAUAUGGUAGACUAAGUAAAUAUUUUUCGAGAACGAAAACAGUAAAAACGUGUCUAAUACGAACAUAUGAAAAUGACAAAAAUACUGAAUUGGCAACAGUAUUAUAAAAAUUAUUUUCAACAUCAUAAAUCAAAUAUUGUGUGUAGCACAUAUCUUAUCAGACUUACUAAUAGGCCAAAAAAUUUCUUAAAAAUUGUGCAAUGGUCUAAUUAAUUAUCAUUAUCCAAUACAUGCUAGAUAACCCAAAAUGGGCUCAUGUCCUCCAAGAUAUCAUCCUACAUCAUAGAUCAAAUCUCUUAUAGUCUCACAAAUAUUUGAAAAAUAUGCAAAAUAAAAUUUAAAAUCAUGUUGUCAUGAGCACUAAAUAAAACCCCACCAUAAAUUUGCUGCGAUAUAUUGUCUCUAAUGUCGCCUAUUUGUGCAAUAUUUCCUUUUGACAUAUCUAUAUUCGGUGGUAUUGUAUUUUUUGAGUCAAUGAUCAUGUCUUCAACUUGGAACUCUUCGAUCAUCCUAUCACGACCAACUUCUUUUCUUAUAAAAUUAUGCAACACACAACAUACAAUAGGAACUCAUUGUUGCCUUCUCGGAGGAUAAUUAGGCAUCAAUUUCAAAAUUAGAAAAAGAGCUUUCAAAACACCAAAACAUCGCUCAAUUACAUUACAUAAUGAGGAGUGCCUAUAGCUCAACAAUUCCAUAGGACCUCUUGGUGUUUGUCGAGGUCCUCUAUCAUCACGCAAAUGAUAUCUCUCACCUCGAUAGGGUGCCAAGAAUUCAGGCACUUUUGAAUAUCCAACAUCCACAACAAUACCCUGUAAUUGUAAUUUAUUACUUGCAAGACACAAAUAAUGUACAUAAUAAUAUUAAUUGUAAUCUUAUGUUUAUACCUUCUUCUGGAAAAGGAAACUCUCAUUUUCUGGCCUUAUCACUGCAUCUAUGAACACCCUAGAGUCAUUUGCAGUUCCUUCCCAGCCCGUAUAAACAAAAGUGAACAUCAUGUCCAAAGAGCAAGCACACAUGGCCUUUUGAGUAAUAAGAAUCUUCCUACCAUGAUAUGAGGUUUGCUUUUGAGUUGGUGCCUAAGCAACAACAUGAGUUCCAUCAAUUGCACUAACACACUUCUGCGAUAAAUUCAUAUAUUUACAAACUAUAAAGUAAAUAUAAUUUAAAAUAUAUAAUUAUAAUAAUAAAAUAAAUAAAAUUAACAAUUGAUUUCUCACCUCAAAAUAAGGAUAAUACUUUAGGUUAUUCAAAAUUUCAGAAGGUGUUUCCUCUCGACUUUGUGGCCUUAUAAUACGUGGUGCUAAAGCACAUAAAGCUCCCAAAACACACUAAAAUUGUCUAUGAAUUGUGUCUUUAGAUCGUUGGAAAUGAUCAACAGCCAGUCACAUGCAGAUAUUAUGAGACACUAUAAAUAUGAAAAUUGCCAUUGCCUUAUAAGUACCCACAUUUCUAUCAUUCUGUGGCAAAUUUAAACUCUCAAGUGUGUAACGCAACCUUUGGAAUACAUGUUUGUACAUGUGAAACGAGUCUUAAAUCCUAUCUGCUGGAUGCCCAUUCAAACAUAUUCAUGCUCGGAUAAAACAGAAUUAUGACAUGGAGUUCUAUGUACAUAUGAUUGCCAAUAUUCAUAAAUAUGCAUACAAAUUAUCAUAUGAUGCACCAUUUCCUUCGGAUCUGAAUCACUAUCGGAGUGAUUGUCUUCAUUCCUUAUAGACAUGUCUAGUACCUUCAAGUAUUCAAAUUCAAUAAAGAAUUAUGCAUACAAAUUAAAGUCACAAAAAUCUAAAAUAUGCAUACAAAUUAAAGUCACAAACAUCAAACAGAAUAAGAAGAACAAUUCAUUAGUAUUCUCUCAACAAUAAACAUAAGUAGCAAUCCUAAAGACUAGCCAACCAAACUCUCCUCCUUUCUUCUGGCAUUAUAACAAAGAUUUUCCUCCAUUCAACAAUCACUAUCUUUUCUAGCAUCUUGUCGAUGUAUUGUUAUCAAUAUCUCCCAUUGUCUCAACAAUUCCUAUGCAUUCUUCAAUCGAAUACAUUUCCUUAGAGGUGCUAGAUGCCUCAAGCAAUGGCCACAGCAGCAAGCAACAACAGCAACAAUAGAAGCUACUCUGCCAUCUUCUGCCGCUUCCAUCUGUCUAGCCGUCAUGUCACGACGACAACCCGCAAACAAAAAGAAAAAGAAAAAGGCCACGCUAGCCGCCGCUACCAUCGAUACCGAUCAUGACAACAACUAACCGGGCCCACCUAGUUGGUACUCAUGUCGAAGAAGAAAAGAAGAAGAAAAAAAAAUCAAAUUCGAUUUACCUUGGGGUGUACGGCAACUCCUCUCUUCAACAAGCAGUACAAUUCUCCAAGAUCUCUCUCAAACUAGAAAGCAAAGAAGACAAGUUUUCAAUUUGAAGAAGAGCGAAAAGAAGCUUUGUAUUUAUAAAGAUUGGGCAUCCUAGGUCAAGAAGGAAGCACGAGUUCAUUUCCAUUAGGAGCUCAACUCAAGAAAAAGUCAAAAGCCUACUCCAAUUAGGAGCCCAAUUGGCAAAAGGAUUCCAACUCAAAGAAGAAAGCCCAAAUGCAGUUGGAAAGCCCGAAAAGUAUUUCUCACCUCCUCUACACCUCACAAGCGCCAUGCAAAAGUUGGGGGACAUUUGUGGGAGAAAAUAAUCAAGUUUCCAAUCAUAAGGUGCCACAUGGACAAGAAGAAUAUCUCCUAUGUCAAUUAAUUGAGCCCAUUUAUUUGGCUAAUUAGUUGAUCUAAAAAUAGGGAUAUUAUCUUAAAUAUGGGAUAUUAUCUUUAUUUGGGAAUAUAAUUACCAAUUAAAAGAUAAUAUCAUCAAUUUAGGAUAUUAUCUUAAUUGGGAUAUAUUAUCAUCAAUCAAUGAUUUAAUCCCAAUCAAAUUCUUAAUUGACUUAAUCUCUCCAUUUAGGGGAAAAAAUAUCUUCCUUCCAAAUAAGAAGAUAUUCUUUGAAAAUCUCUCCAUUUAGGUAAUUCCGAAACCUAGCAAGAAUUCACCAAAACCUCUCUCUCUCUCGCCGACGGCCUCUCUCACUCUUAUCUCUCUCACACGGCCAAGUGCCACCACACACGGUUCUGGCCCCCUGACUCUCCCCCGGAGAGAAAGCUCUGUACCUUUUUAGUUAUUGCCACAUAUUUUCUCAAAGAUCCAAUCGAACUAACUUAGGCAUCCGAGGGACUUUGGCCAACAACUUCCGGAUAUAGUUUUUUACUCAUGUUUGUUUCGUAGGAACGAGGAAGAGAGAGAAGAAAGCUCAAAAGGUGAAGGAUCUACAUGCGAAUACUCUUCCUUGAGAAAUUUGCAUAAACAGAAGAAGUGUGACAUAUUCUUAAUUCAAAAAUAUCCAUCCGAAACAAGGAAAAAAUUGUAAAACUAAACUUAUGAAAUUAUACCUCUAUUCUGGUCAGCAUGAAUGGAUAUGUCCAAACAAAUUUUAAUCCAAAAAGAAAAAUCAGAGGUGAAGGUUUAGGGUUUCACAAACAGAUCUACUAAGUAAAACGAAUUAACAUAUGAUAUGGGCAAAAUAAAGAAAUGAGACCAAGAUAAAACUUCUAGAAACGUGACAAAUUGUCCUUUGAAGUAAUUUUACGUAAGCAUAACAAUUCGAAAUAAAAGAUAAACAAAUAAAAAAUCCUAUGAAUGUGGAUGGGACGAGGAAAAUUGAAGCUGACAAUAAAGGUUACUUGGGAUAUAUCCAAAGAAAAAAAAAGAAGAGAAAUACUACUUUUCCUUCCUUGUUUUACUUUUCUCCCUCAUUAAUUGUACUUAGCUUUAGCUCCAUGCAUCUUCUCCUCCUUCACAGCAGCCUAGGCCAUCAAUCACGCUAUGAAAAUGGUUACGUGGCGCACGCCUGGUUGUGUAUGGACUGUUUUUCAAAAUCACGAGUGUUCUUAAUCAACGUUUUAAUUUGAUAUGGUUGGCAAUUUUCCAAUUCUCCCAGUCUUGCUACUUUGACUAAAUUAAUAUCUACUUGUUUUUUUAUGUUUGCAAGUAAUAUGUACUCGUGCCAGUAUUCAAAGUACCUGCUAUUACAAAUAAACCAAUGUAAACAGGGACUAAGCGUUUAUGGCCCGUUUCCUAGUAUUGAUGACCUAUCAUCUAAUGUUUGGGUUUAAUCCAAAUCUCUCUAGAAGUUUUUUUUAUUUUUUUUUUAUUUUUUUAUGAGGGUUCAAAUGUGACACCACUUGUCUACAAGUUAAGGUCAUUUUCUAUUGCGCUAGAGACUCUAUUGGCCUCUAAAAAAUCUUUUAGUUACUUCUUUAUUAAUGUAUACACGUGACUAGAGACCAUCUAAUAGUUAUCACAUUUUCCAUUUACAUGUGUGUCUGUGACUAAGCUAACAAUUGUAACUAUAUAUGUUUAUCCAAUUGAUCACUUUUUCUACACUUAUCUACAUGUGUGUCUGGCCUAUAUGAUGACUUUAAUUUUUCUGGAUUGAAUUUGAAUUUUCUGUAAUAUAAAUUUUUUGGGAUAAUGUGGGGACUUCAUUGCAGGUCAAUGACGUUAUCUAGGACCAAAUAUUACGAGUAAUUUAUUAGUUUCCCCAGGGUCCUGUUUACGUGUUACCAUGGCAGCUUAGACCCGUAAUCAAAAUAGCAAGAAAAGAUCAAAAGUUAGGCACGCUACAAGCCCUAUAUAAAGCACCCCCUGGCACCCAAGUUUAUCAUCAUCCUUCUCACCAAAUUACAAGUUAAUUAAGUUUAUCAGCAAGAGCAACAGCAAGCCAAUUAAGACAUUUCCAUGACGAUGAUGAAGAGCCAAGCAGCUCUCCUCGGCCUCACCACCUUGGCCAUCCUCUUCUUCUCAGGUAUAAUAUUAUACAAACUUUGUUAGGUGAUCAGAUAUCGAUCAAAAAGUUUAUUUUUACAAUUGUCUCUGUAAUCUUUAGUCUUAUGAUCAUGGUUUAAUGUACUUUGAAUAUGCAGGUGCACAUGCAGCUAAAAUCACUUUCACAAACAAAUGUUCCUACACUGUCUGGCCAGGAACCCUAACCGGUGACCAAAAACCUCAAUUAUCACUCACCGGGUUCAAGUUAGCAACCGGAAUUAGCCGCUCUGUGGACGCACCGUCCCCAUGGUCCGGUCGCUUCUUUGGCCGAACCAGGUGCUCCACGGACGCGUCAGGAAAGUUCACUUGUGCCACAGCAGAUUGUGGUUCUGGCCAAGUCUCAUGCAACGGUAACGGCGCAGCUCCGCCCGCUACAUUAGUAGAAAUCACUAUUGCUUCGAACGGGGGUCAAGACUUCUACGACGUUAGUCUUGUUGACGGCUUCAACUUGCCCAUGUCCGUGGCUCCACAAGGCGGCACCGGCAAGUGUAAGGCCUCAACUUGCCCUGCCGAUAUUAACAAAGUGUGCCCGGCUCCGUUACAAGUGAAGGGAUCUGAUGGAAGCGUAAUUGCGUGCAAGAGCGCUUGCUUAGCAUUCAACCAGCCAAAAUACUGUUGCACUCCACCUAACGACAAGCCGGAGACAUGCCCUCCCACUGAUUACUCUAAGCUCUUCAAGACCCAGUGCCCUCAAGCUUAUAGCUAUGCUUAUGAUGACAAGAGCAGCACCUUCACAUGCAGUGGUAGACCUGACUACCUCAUCACAUUCUGCCCAUAAGCAUAUAUAUAUAUAUAGAAUGGGAUCUUAUAUGAUAUGAUAUUAUACAUAUAGUUCCCAAUAAAUAAAUUUCCUGGAUCUUGACACAUUGUUGAUGUCAAGAAUUUGUAAUGCAGACGAUCAAAUAAAGGAAUAAAUGUUUGGAUUUUAUUUUC
rnacentral:lncRNA from 1 species